UUUUUCCUCUUAAGCAGAAAUUAGAAUAGAGUUCAGUAAAACAAGAAACAAUAAUUACAACUUAUAGGAACCUUCAUAACAAGAUAGCAUAUAUGGAUAAACUUCACUAGCGUUGCACCCAUCAACUGCAGCAUAUGAUAAGGUGCAUUUUAUUACAUCCAAAGCAAUAAUUUUUGUAUCAAGCCCAACUCAUUUGUCUCACGGGCCCAAUUCAUUUAUCUCACAAGCCCUAGAUUAAGGAUACCCCACGAUGUCUGUGGCCAUGAUUUUUCUUUUGCUUUCAUCAACAAAACUCUAGCCCAAGCAAUCCAUCCUUCCCAAGACAUCCUCUUGUCCCAAGGACUUCCCCACUCCAACAUCAGUGUCAGCCCUCUCUCUGCCUCCUUCUCAGCCUCCUCAAAUCUCCCCUUUGUCAAAUAAACCUGACCCAACGCCACUCUUGGCUCCCCAACAAAAGGGUUCUUCUCAACACACCUCAACAACAACUCCUCGGCUCUGUCUAUCCCUAUCUUAGGCAUAUCACAAACAGCUUCCCAAUACAAGUCCCUUGCCAUUAUCUGCUCUCUCGCGUCUAAAAUCUUAGUGCACUCAUCAAAAACUGGUGGCACCACAAGCUCUAUAUCCUCAUCUCUGACUUGAUCAACCCCAACUCCACCAGCCCUUUUCCUUUCAUGUAUAAAAAUCUCUUCCUCUCUCCGUAUCAAAGUAUAAAGAGCACCCAUUCGAGAUAUUGAAUUGAUCCAUAGCCCUGGCUUGCCAUCUCCAGGCCACAAAGUAGCAAAGUUAUUCCCCAAGAACUCGAGCAGACCAUCCAAGUUGUUAAAUAACUCAUCUUGAAAGCCAAACAGUUGAUCACUGAAAUCAGCCAUGGUCAUCAGGAGAAAAACAGCCACUACUCUUCUUGUCACCAGAACGUCCUCUCCUGUCUUUAUAUGCUUGACGGUGAUGCCUCCAGCAGGCAAAAGAGAAUUGAGUUUCUUCCUCCAGGAUUCAUCGUUGAAAAUACCUUUGUCCUUGGCAUUUUUCAGCGAUAUCUCAGAGAGUUUGAGGUGUUGGACGAGUUCAUUAUCAGAAUACUUGAACAAGAGAUCAUCAUGGAUCAAGGGUUGGCGUGGAACGAUACAAAAUAAGUGAAUCAAUCUCUCAGCGGCUUCACCAACGUGGCUGCGGAACACAGGUGUUGGGAUCAAAGAUAGCAAGAUUGACAUAAGAAUUGGAAUAAGCAGAGUGGAAGAGGCCACAAAGACAAACAGAGUCAGGAGCAUUCCAGAUCUUGAGGAUGCGGUAGAUGUCGAGCAGGUGAUCGAGAAAGCUGCCAUGCUUGUGCCAACACUCUCCAGCACCGACAGAACGCAAGACUGCAACUAAAGAAGGCAAAUUGACGUCGAUGGAUUCGAGCUCACCACGAAGGAAGGGGCGAGCAGAGGCUAAAAGGGUCUGAAGGUAAUUGGAUUGUUGAUGAGAAUGUUGAGAAGGCAUGGCUAGGAUGAGGAAGAGGAAACAAGGAGAAAGAGCAGCACGUAAAGAUACGUGACGGAUUUUAAUUCUUUUGCUG
rnacentral:misc_RNA from 1 species